UAAUUCACCAAAGUCGUAUUGUAAUGUUUAGUUUUAUUAGUGAAACGUUUAGUCUUACUUGUUUUAGUUCCUGCAUUUAUUUAUUUAGUAAUUUCAACAUGAAGUUUUAUCAAUGUAUCAAAAUUUGUUUUAUCUUCAGUUUGCUGUCUAUUUUUACGUAUAUAUAUUAGAAUAAGAAUGUAAAUAAUACCAUUUAGAAAUAAAACAAGAUGAGGAAAGAAAGUAUCUAUCACCUCACAUAUCCAAGGCAAAUUAAUAUAUGAUGCAAACAUGUAGAAAGAGUACAUGGACAAUGCAAACAGAGGAAGUAAGAGAAAACUAAUUUUGAUUUUUCUUCCAUAUCACAACAACGAUUGAUACCCAAACUUGGAAAAAAUAAAACAAAUCUUAA
rnacentral:lncRNA from 1 species